rnacentral:lncRNA from 1 species
GAGGAAUUGAGGCACAUCGGUAUUGGGGUCGGGGAGAGAUCUGGGAAAGGAGAUGCAUAUUUGCAGAAUAGCCAAUAUAAUUUGGACCGCGGGUUGAAUUAUCCAAACUUGAAGGGGACAAAUUGCAAAGUUCACGGACGGACGACGACGAAGUAAGGGUUCCUCCCUUUAUUAUUUUGGUAGAAAAGAUAAAAACUCUGACGUCGUCAAGCCUACCAUACUAGUCGAUCUGAUCUUAAUAUACUACGUAUGUGUUCACAACAUUGUUUAAAUAAAAUGCAUUAUUGGCUAUAUGUUUUAAUACUGUUAUACUGGUAAAAUUCGUAAGAGUGGACAUAAUGCCAUCAUGUUCGGUUACAUAGGCUAAAUAAUCUUCAUUAUCAAACAUUAUGGUCCAACUUAUAUCGGUCAGAACUAAAAAUAUAAAAAAAUAAAGAAUAAAUAAGUGUCGGGGGAAUGACCCCGUGUAGGGU